GGGGCCGUAGCUCAGCUGGGAGAGCGCCUGGUUUGCAACCAGGAGGUCGUGGGUUCGAAUCCCAUCGGCUCCA
rfam:Planctomycetes bacterium SM23_25 WORSMTZ_32332, whole genome shotgun sequence.